AUUUAUGUAGUUUAUAAAAACAUUACAUUUUCAUUGUAAAAUUAAUAUUAAUAUUCUUAAAUA
rnacentral:tRNA from 2 species